GUUGUUUAGUUGAAAAUCAAUUAAAUAAUUUUUGAUUUUGAGUAGUAUUGACUUCAUCAGCUUGCUGCUCUCUUUUCGGAAAUUAUUUAAUGCACUUUUCAGUUAACAAGUCAACAUCAAUUUCUUUUGUUGUAAAAAGGUAAGAGGAAGGUGGCUUACAUUUCGGUGUAAGUGUUUAUAGCCUUUUACCUCUGCAAUCGGAGAGAUUGAGGUCAGCAGCGUAGACUCUUCGGGGUUAGAUACACUUGUGCUAAGCUAUAGCCUUGUAUAGACAACUUGUUGACUAUGCUCAGUCAUGUAGCUUACUCGCUUGCAGUAUUUUACCUAC
rnacentral:rRNA from 1 species